GGAUGGAUGCAGCGGUUCGAGUGUUUGACUCCCAGCCGAAAGGUUCUGGGUUCGAACCCUGAUGUCCGUCCG